UUGUCAACUAUUACGUCCCCACCCACAGAACCGCAGUUGAAUUCUCUGGUGGACGACUUAUCGGGUUGGCCUCCAAGGUUCGCCGACAUGGACACUGCACACGUCCAAGGCUGCUAGCUGAGAGAGUCACUCUGAAGUGCGAGCUGACUUUAGACGGCGUCACCGUCACCUACAACGGGUCUUACAGAGCUCCCGGAAAGGACGGGAAGAUCCAGAAUAUUUCUGUGGAGUUGAUUGUGCUGAACACUUACGCCGUCGUACAAGUCACCAGCAAAGAAGAUGGCACACCAGUGCUGAAUAACUUUAGGAUUCCAAAGGUGAACCUGAAGCUCAAAGAUACAGGGUUCAGCGACUUCGCCCAGACAGACAACGUGAGGCAGACACUGAGAGGAAGCGUACAAAGCAAGCUCUCUUCUGUACUGUUUCGAAAAUUCCGGAAGACCCUGGAGGAAGCAUUACAAAGUGUGCUCAUGCCUAUUGCUUGACAGGGAUCGGUCCGGAAAGGGUGUUGUAUUUUCAAUAAAAUCGAGCGCCCAUGUCUUGAUGGAGGGAUGGGACACAAUGUCCAUUCUAAAAUGAAAUUUUUGGACCUUC